GCUCAUCAGCUUCAUUCAGAAGAUCCUGAAUAUCUUCACCUUCUUCCUCCUUUUCAUCAGGCUCUGAGUGAUUAUCCCCAGAAACAGAGCCUUCUUCAUCCGAACUUCCAGAAUAACCAGAACUGUCAUCACUCCCAGAAGAUUCUUCUUUAUGAACCUGCUCGAUGACCUUAGCAUACAAAGCAUCACAUCCUUCAUCAGCUUGAACAGCCAAAGCCCGAUUGUGAUUGGUAGUUCCAGGCUGUCCCUGACUGUUAUUCACUGCCACCAUCCUCCUCUCACGGUUUUCUUGUUGGGCAUUCACAUUCGUCUGGUUUCUGAAAGGGUUGUGAUUGCCGUGUUUUGUUGGUCGAGUGCACUC
rnacentral:lncRNA from 1 species